rnacentral:rRNA from 1 species
UUCGGAUUGCAGGCUGCAACUCGCCUACACGAAGUCGGAAUCGCUAGUAAUCGCGGAUCAGCAUGCCGCGGUGAAUACGUUCCCGGGCCUUGUACACACCGCCCGUCACACCAUGGGAGUCGGAAAUGCCCGAAGUCUGUGACCUAACCGUAAGGAAGGAGCAGCCGAAGGCAGGUCGGAUGACUGGGGUGAAGUCGUAACAAGGUAUC